AUUGAACGCUGGCGGCAUGCCUUACACAUGCAAGUCGAACGGCAAGCACGGGACUCGGGCAACUGAGCCCUGGUGGCGAGUGGCGAACGGGUGAGUAAUGCAUCGGAACGUGCCCAGUAGUGGGGGAUAACUAGUCGAAAGAUUAGCUAAUACCGCAUACGACCUAUGGGUGAAAGCGGGGGAUUUUCGGGCAACCGAGAACCUCGCGCUAUCGGAGCGGCCGAUGUCGAUUAGCUAGUUGGCGGGUAAANCCCACCAAGGCUUCGAUCAGUAGCUGGUCU
rnacentral:rRNA from 1 species